ACACAUUCAAGUCGAACGGAGUAUGUUUGGAAGCUUGCUUUUGGACAUACUUAGUGGCGGACGGGUGAGUAAUGCAUGAGCAACCUGCCUUCAAGAGGGGGAUAACACAUGGAAACGUGUGCUAAUACCGCAUAGACGUACGGACGGCAUCGUAUGUACGGGAAAGGAGCAAUCCGCUUGAAGAUGGGCUCAUGUCCGAUUAGGUUGUUGGUGAGGUAACGGCCCACCAAGCCUGCGAUCGGUAGCCGGACUGAGAGGUUGAACGGCCACAUUGGAACUGAGAUACGGUCCAGACUCCUACGGGAGGCAGCAGUGGGGAAUAUUGGGCAAUGGGCGAAAGCCUGACCCAGCGACGCCGCGUGAGGGAAGAAGGUCUUCGGAUUGUAAACCUUUGUAGACAGGGACGAAGAAAUGACGGUACCUGUAAAGUAAGCCACGGCUAACUACGUGCCAGCAGCCGCGGUAAUACGUAGGUGGCAAGCGUUAUCCGGAUUUAUUGGGUGUAAAGGGUGAGUAGGCGGGCUGACAAGUCAGAUGUGAAAUGUUCAGGCUUAACCUGAGAACUGCAUUUGAAACUGCCAGUCUUGAGUGUCGGAGGGGUAAUCGGAAUUCCCGGUGUAGCGGUGAAAUGCGUAGAGAUCGGGAGGAACACCAGUGGCGAAGGCGGAUUACUGGACGACAACUGACGCUGAUACACGAAAGCGUGGGGAGCAAACAGGAUUAGAUACCCUGGUAGUCCACGCCGUAAACGAUGAGUGCUAGG
rnacentral:rRNA from 1 species